GCACCUCACAAAACGGGUGCCGGGUUUGACAGCCUGAACGUUCAAGCGGGUAGCCGCUAAUUUCCGUAUAGCGGUAUUUUU
rnacentral:sRNA from 1 species